AUGGCGAUAGGGGCGUUCGUGGAGGGCCCGGCGGGCGGCGCCGGGUACAGCGGCCGGGUCACCUCCUUCGUCGUCCUCUCCUGCAUCGUCGCCGGCAGCGGCGGCAUCCUCUUCGGCUACGACCUCGGAAUCUCAGGCGGCGUCACGUCCAUGGAGUCGUUCCUCAAGAAGUUCUUCCCGGACGUCUACCACCAGAUGAAGGGGGACAAGGCCGCCACCGUCUCCAACUACUGCCGCUUCGACAGCGAGCUGCUCACCGUCUUCACCUCCUCCCUCUACGUUGCCGGCCUCGUCGCCACCCUCUUCGCCUCCUCCGUCACCACCCGCUACGGCCGCCGCGCCUCCAUCCUCAUCGGCGGCUCCGUCUUCAUCGCCGGCUCCGCGUUCGGGGGCGCCGCCGUCAACGUCUACAUGCUCCUCGUCAACCGCAUCCUCCUCGGCAUCGGCCUCGGAUUCACCAACCAGUCGAUUCCACUGUACCUCUCGGAAAUGGCGCCGCCGCAGUACCGUGGCGCCAUCAACAACGGCUUUGAGCUCUGUAUCAGCAUCGGCAUCCUCAUCGCGAACGUCAUCAACUAUGGAGUGCAGAAAAUCGAAGGAGGAUGGGGGUGGAGGAUAUCACUGUCCAUGGCUGCUGUGCCUGCUGCAUUUCUAACUAUCGGUGCGAUCUUCCUGCCUGAGACCCCCAGCUUCCUGAUCCAGCGUGAUGGCAAUGUCGACGAGGCGAAGAUGAUGCUCCAGAGGCUGCGUGGCACGACGGGGGUUCAGAAAGAGCUCGACGAUCUGGUCACUGCCAGCAACAUAUCCAGGGCAAUCAAGAACCCGUACCGGAACAUCCUGAAGAAGAAGUACAGGCCACAGCUCGUGAUAGCGCUCCUCAUUCCUUUCUUCAACCAGGUCACGGGAAUCAACGUGAUCAACUUCUACGCGCCGGUCAUGUUCCGGACCAUCGGGCUAGGGGAGAGCGCGGCACUCAUGUCAGCGGUCGUGACACGCCUCUGCGCCACAGUCGCCAACAUCGUGGCCAUGAUCGUCGUCGACAAGUUCGGGCGCAGAAAGCUCUUGCUGGUAGGCGGCAUUCAGAUGAUCCUGUCACAGUUCACUGUCGGUGCGAUCCUGGCCGUGAAGUUCAAGGACCAUGGAGUCAUGGAUAAGGAGUACGGAUACCUGGUCCUGGUCAUCAUGUGCGUGUUCGUGGCAGGGUUCGCCUGGUCCUGGGGACCUCUCACCUACUUGGUGCCAACAGAGAUCUGCCCGCUGGAGAUCAGGUCGGCAGGGCAGAGCGUCGUGAUUGCGGUCAUCUUCCUGAUGACGUUUGUGAUCGGGCAGACGUUCCUCAACAUGCUGUGCCAUCUCAAGUUCGGCACCUUCUUCCUGUUUGGCGGGUGGGUGUGCGUGAUGACGCUGUUCGUCUUCUUCUUCCUGCCGGAGACGAAGCAGCUGCCCAUGGAGCAGAUGGAGCAGGUGUGGAGGAAGCACUGGUUCUGGAAGAGGAUAGUUGGGGAGGGGGAAGAAGAGGUGGAUCAGGCGCACACUGGAGCAGGAGCCAUAGCCAUGUCCACCGCACCACAUAGCAGUUAG
rnacentral:rRNA from 1 species